rnacentral:rRNA from 1 species
AGAGUUUGAUCCUGGCUCAGGACGAACGCUGGCGGUGUGCUUCACACAUGCAAGUCGAACGGAGUAGCAAUACUCAGUGGCGGACGGGUGAGUAACACGUGGGAAUCUACCAUUAGGUGGGGAAUAACAGGCCGAAAGGACUGCUAAUGCCGCAUAUGUAGGCAUCCCGACAGAGAUGUUUAUGAAAGGAGUAAUCCGCCUUUUGAUGAGCCCGCGUCCGAUUAGCUAGUUGGUAGGGUAAAAGCCUACCAAGGCGACGAUCGGUAGGUGGUCUGAGAGGAUGAUCACCCACAAUGGGACUGAGACACGGCCCAUACUCCUACGGGAGGCAGCAGUGGGGAAUUUUACGCAAUGGGGGAAACCCUGACGUAGCGACACCGCGUGAGCGAAGAAGCCCUUUGGGGUGUAAAGCUCUGUCAACAGGAACGAAACAAAUGACGGUACCUGUGGAGGAAGCAUCGGCUAACUACGUGCCAGCAGCCGCGGUAAGACGUAGGAUGCAAGCGUUGUCCGGAUUUAUUGGGCGUAAAGAGUUCGUAGGCGGUUUGUUAAGUCCGAUGUUAAAGACCGGGGCUCAACCUCGGAAAUGCAUUGGAUACUGGCAGACUGGAGUGCAGUAGAGGCUAGUGGAAUUCCCAGUGUAGCGGUGAAAUGCGUAGA